CCCCCGAGCUGCGCCUCGGAGCCCGCGGAGCCGCGGCCAGCCAGGAGCAUUCACGCCGCACCCACAAUACACCAAGAUCUGGUCCAAAUAGACAUUGUGGAGGAAUAAAAAGAAGCCCAAGGCAGAUGUUCUGCCAUCAGACCUCUCUGUCCAGAUGGAAGACCAAGAUGAAGAAACAUGGUGCCAUCUUGGGUAAGCCUUUCAAACCAGGAGCUGUUCCUGUCACCACUUUACAGAAGAGAGAACCAAGGCUGAGCAAAAUAACUGGCCCGAGGUCCCAUGACUCUCAAGCAGCAGAGCUGGAGUUUGAAUCUGGGGCUGUGUGCUUCCAAACCCUUUGCUUUUAAUCCCCACAGUACGCCAUCUUUCAAGCUCCUUUCCAGAACUGGGAGUUGGGUGGGAGCAGUCCCAGCCCCGGGCUCCCUCUCUGAGCUCGGGGAGCCAUGGUGCUGGCCCCAGCAAAGGGGAUGGGAGAUGACGUCUCCCUCCAAGAUUGCUGCCUUUUGUCCAAAUGUGCUGGCCGGGAGCCAGGCUGGAAACUCUCUGCUC
ensembl:lncRNA